AGGGAUUCCCCCAGUAGUGGCGAAUGAAGCGGGAAAAGCUCAAGUUUGAAAUCUGAAGUCCACUUCAGAGUUGUAAGCUGAAGAGGUGUCGACCGACUUGGUCCGGGCCCAACUUCCUUGGAACAGGAGGUCAUGGAGGGUGAGAACCCCGUCUGUGGCUCGGGUGCCGUAGUCCUUGUGUCGUGCCCUCGAAGAGUCGGGUUGUUUGGGAAUGCAGCUCAAAAUGGGUGGUAAAUUUCAUCUAAGGCUAAAUAUUGGCGAGAGACCGAUAGCAAACAAGUAGAGUGAUCGAAAGAUGAAAAGUACUUUGAAAAGAGAGUGAAACAGUACGUGAAAUUGUUGAAAGGGAAGCGUUUGGCAUCAG
rnacentral:rRNA from 1 species